UACAGAGGGUGCGAGCGUUGUCCGGAAUCACUGGGCGUAAAGGGCGCGUAGGUGGCGACCCAAGUCGAUGGUGAAAGCUCGCCGCUCAACGGCGAGUCGGCCACCGAUACUGGGUUGCUUGAGCACUGUAGAAGCUAAUGGAAUUCCGGGUGUAGCGGUGGAAUGCGUAGAGAUCCGGAAGAACACCGGUGGCGAAGGCGGUUAGCUGGGCAGUUGCUGACACUGAGGCGCGACAGCGUGGGGAGCAAACAGG
rnacentral:rRNA from 1 species